GAUGAACGCUAGCGGCAGGCCUAACACAUGCAAGUCGAGGGGCAGCACGUCUUCGGAUGGUGGCGACCGGCGCACGGGUGCGUAACGCGUAUGCAACCUACCUUACACUGGGGUAUAGCCCGGAGAAAUUCGGGAUUAAUCCCCCAUGGUACUUUUGAAUGGCAUCAUUUGGAAGUUAAAGUAUUACGGUGUAAGAUGGGCAUGCGUCCUAUUAGCUAGAUGGUAAGGUAACGGCUUACCAUGGCUACGAUAGGUAGGGGGCCUGAGAGGGUGGUCCCCCACACUGGUACUGAGACACGGACCAGACUCCUACGGGAGGCAGCAGUGAGGAAUAUUGGUCAAUGGGCNCAAGCCUGAACCAGCCAUGCCGCGUGCAGGAAGAAUGCCCUAUGGGUUGUAAACUGCUUUUAUUGGGAAUAAACCUUUCUACGUGUAGGAAGCUGAA
rnacentral:rRNA from 1 species